CAUCUAUUGUUAUGUUUCAUGGGGACUUGCCUUACUCAUCAAAAGACAUCCUCAAGAAGCUCGAGACUUUGAAUGAUAAACAUAUUAUUGGUUCUGGUGGCUUUGGAACUGCAUACAAGCUAGAUAUGGAUGAUGACAAUAUUUUUGCUCUGAAAAGAAUAGUAAAGACAAAUGAAGGUCUUGACCGCUUUUUUGAUAGGGAACUUGAGAUCUUGGGCAGUAUUAAACAAAUAUCGUUAUUUGGUAAAUCUACGUGGGUAUUGCAAUUCACAGUCAUCUAAGUUAUUAAUUUAUGAUUUUUUGUCUGGCGGGAGCUUGGAUGAAGCUGUUUACAUGAUUGAUUUGAAGCUGAAAUUGUGUCGGGGCUCUUCGACUAAAAAGAUUUUGGUUCGAGAGACGAUGAGUUAUGAAGCUAAUAAUCUCAUUUUAGGGAUCAAAAAGAAUUGCCGAGGCAUUAGGUCUUCAUCUACCUCGAUCGCAAAGUAAUGUUCGAAGAAACUGCCGAAGGAUUGCUCGGUUCGUGCAGUGAGCAAUGACAAGAUUGUAUUCCAGAGAUAAUCCACAAUAAAACAGAAAGUGUUCCAGAAACCUGAGUCGAAAACGAAGCAAACAUGAUUAUUUUUUCAUGAAUGUUGCUUCUAUGCAGAUACAUGAGUUAGCAUUUGUUUCACAAAUUUCAACAAAAUUGCAAAUCUAUUAGAGACCCAAAUCCAAUAUUUAUGAGACGUUCUUUA